UGAAUACGAGACGCUAAGGCGUCGAAGUAGUGUAUGUCAUACUUCCAAGAAAAGCUUGCACUGUCAUAGAUAAAAAACGCCUGUACCAUAACCGACACAGGUGGGUAGGUAGAGUAUACUAAGGGGCGCGAGAUAACUCUCUCUAAGGAACUCGGCAAAAUAACUCCGUAACUUCGGGAGAAGGAGUGCCUUAUUCGUAAGGUUGCAAUAACAAGAUCCAAGCAACUGUUUAUCAAAAACACAGGUCUCCGCUAAGUCGUAAGACGAUGUAUGGGGGCUGACGCCUGCCCAGUGCCAGAAGGUUAAAGAAGUUGGUUAGCAAUUGCGAAGCUGAUAACUGAAGCCCUGGUGAACGGCGGCCGUAACAAUAACGGUCCUAAGGUAGCGAAAUUCCUUGUCGGGUGAGUUCCGACCCGCACGAAAGGCGUAAUGAUUUGGAUACUGUCUCGGAGAGGGGCUCGGUGAAAUAGACUUGUCUGUGAAGAUGCGGACUACCUGCACCAGGACAGAAAGACCCUAUGAAGCUUUACUGUAACUUGAAAUUGAAAUUGGACUUUAUUCGCGCAGUAUAGGUGGGAGGCGUUGAUUAUAAUCUUGUGGGAUUAUUGGAGCCAUCAGUGAGAUACCACUCUUGUAAUGUUAGAUUUCUAACUUUGAAUCAUUAUCUGGUCAAAGGACAGUUUCAGGCGGGCAGUUUGACUGGGGCGGUCGCCUCCUAAACGGUAACGGAGGCGUACAAAGGUUUCCUCUGAACGGUUAGAAAUCGUAUCUAGAGUGUAAAGGCAUAAGGAAGCUUGACUGUGAGACCUACAAGUCGAGCAGGGACGAAAGUCGGUCUUAGUGAUCUGACGGUACUGAGUGGAAAGGCCGUCACUCAACGGAUAAAAGUUACUCUAGGAUAACAGGCUGAUCUCCCCCAAGAGUUCACAUCGACGGGGAGGUUUGGCACCUCGAUGUCGGCUCAUCGCAUCCUGGGGCGGUAGUACGUCCCAAGGGUUGGGCUGUUCGCCCAUGAAAGCGGUACGCGAGCUGGGUUCAGAACGUCGUGAGACAGUUCGGUCCAUAUCCGGUGUAGGCGUUAGAAUAUUGAGAGGAGCCUUCUUUAGUACGAGAGGACCGAGAAGGACAUACCUCUGGUGUACCAGUUAUCGUGCCAACGGUAAACGCUGGGUAGCUAUGUAUGGAGUGGAUAACCGCUGAAAGCAUCUAAGUGGGAAGCCCACCUCAAGAUAAG
rnacentral:rRNA from 1 species